rnacentral:rRNA from 1 species
AGUCUAAGUAUAAGUUAUUCUGAAGACGAAACUGCGAAUGGCUCGGUAAAACAGCAAUAAUUUCUUCGGUGAUGAUUUUACUCACGGAUAACCGUAGUAAUUCUAGAGCUAAUACGUGCUAAAAAGGUGGAGUUUACUCCACCGUGCCGUUUAGAUAACAACACCAACAUUUGGUGAUUCAUAAUCGUCUUUCUGAUCGCUUUCGAGCGACACACCGUUCAAAUUUCUGACCUAUCAACUUUCGAUGUUAGGGUAGUGUCCUAACAUGGUGGUAACGGGUAACGGACCGUGGGUGCGGGACUCCGGAGAGGGAGCCUGAGAAACGGCUACCACAUCCAAGGAAGGCAGCAGGCGCGCAACUUACCCAAUCCAGACUCUGGGAGGUAGUGACAAGAAAUAUCAAUAGGGGAACCUAUGGUUCUUCUAAUUGGAAUGAGAUCGAGCUAAAAAGCCAUAUCGAGAAUCCAGCAGAGGGCAAGUCUGGUGCCAGCAGCCGCGGUAAUUCCAGCUCUGUAAGCGUAUACCAAAGUUGUUGCAGUUAAAACGCUCGUAGUCGGAUUUUGGCAGUUCCGGGAGUGUGCGCGUCGUGCGCACGCUUUGCGGGGACUGCUUUUGUGGUAUUGCGUGGGAUGAAGCAUUUUAAUUAAUGAACGUCCCUUCGCAACCACUUUUUACUGUGAGAAAAUCAAAGUGCUCAAAGCAGGCAUUUGCCGUGAAUGUAUUAGCAUGGAAUAAUUGAAUAGGACUUGGUUCUAUUUUGUUGGUUUGUUGGGACUGAGUAAUGAUUAAGAGGGACAGUUGGGGGUAUUU